rnacentral:rRNA from 1 species
ACGAACGCUGGCGGCGUGCCUAAUACAUGCAAGUCGAACGGUCUUUCUAUGGAAGCUUGCUUCCACUGAGAAGAUAGUGGCGAACGGGUGAGUAACACGUGGGUAACCUGCCCAUAAGAGGGGGAUAACAUCCGGAAACGGGUGCUAAUACCGCAUAGUUUUCUUGAUCGCAUGAUUGAGAAAGGAAAGACGGCCUUUGUGCUGUCGCUUAUGGAUGGACCCGCGGCGUAUUAGUUAGUUGGUGAGGUAACGGCUCACCAAGACGAUGAUACGUAGCCGACCUGAGAGGGUGAUCGGCCACAUUGGGACUGAGACACGGCCCAAACUCCUACGGGAGGCAGCAGUAGGGAAUCUUCCGCAAUGGACGAAAGUCUGACGGAGCAACGCCGCGUGAGUGAAGAAGGUUUUUCCGGAUCGUAAAACUCUGUUGUCAGAGAAGAACAAGUUGGAGAGUAACUGCUCCAGCCUUGACGGUAUCUGACCAGAAAGCCACGGCUAACUACGUGCCAGCCGCUGC